CGCGGCCUAUCAGCUUGUUGGUGAGGUAACGGCUCACCAAGGCAUCGACGGGUAGCUGGUCCGAGAGGACGAUCAGCCACACUGGGACUGAGACACGGCCCAGACUCCUACGGGAGGCAGCAGUAGGGAAUCUUGCGCAAUGGGCGAAAGCCUGACGCAGCAACGCCGCGUGGGGGAUGAAUGCCUUCGGGUUGUAAACCCCUUUCAGCAGGGACGAAAAUGACGGUACCUGCAGAAGAAGCUCCGGCCAACUACGUGCCAGCAGCCGCGGUAAUACGUAGGGAGCGAGCGUUGUCCGGAAUUAUUGGGCGUAAAGAGCUCGUAGGCGGUUCGGUAAGUCGGGUGUGAAAACUCAAGGCUCAACCUUGAGACGCCACUCGAUACUGCUGUGACUUGAGUCCGGUAGAGGAGUGUGGAAUUCCUGGUGUAGCGGUGAAAUGCGCAGAUAUCAGGAGGAACACCAGCGGCGAAGGCGGCACUCUGGGCCGGUACUGACGCUGAGGAGCGAAAGCAUGGGGAGCAAACAGGAUUAGAUACCCUGGUAGUCCAUGCCGUAAACGUUGGGCACUAGGUAUGGGAUCAUAUCAACGGAUUCCGUGCCGUAGCUAACGCAUUAAGUGCCCCGCCUGGGGAGUACGG
rnacentral:rRNA from 1 species